UUUGCUAACAUUUCUUUAACAAAAGUUUUACUCCUACCUUGUAAAAUUAUGAAACACAAGAGUCAAGCUGUAUCACUGGUGCUCAUAUCCCUCCUCUUUUCUCAAAGUUAUUGCUACAUAAAAAUACUUCGAGACAAAAACCAUCGUAACGGGAAGGCUGGCUUGGUGCAUGUCAUCAAGGAUGGAAUAGAGGAAGUGAUAACCCCGAAAAAUUCGAAAAUAGAUAAGGGUUAUUUGUACAAAGUUAUCCAGAAGGAUUUCGUUUGUUCCGAUAAUCUUGAGCCACCGCCUAAUUCACGAGAUAGAUGGGUCCUUAUUUCGUCCAAUUUUCGGUGUGAAGUGGAUAGAAUGGUCGUCAAUGCGGAGAGAAUGGGUUACCAUGGAAUUAUUAUUUAUCCGAUUGAACCAAGUGCCAAUAAAGUCUUGAAACUUUCUCCAAAAGUGAAGUCACAGACGGGGAUAUGUGUAUACAUUUUGAGUGAGCGGCAAGCUCAAAAGCUUAAGCGGUAUACAUAUCCGUUCUUUAAUGGGGAAAGUUUCAUGAUCCGAUUUGCCGAAAGAUCAACCACACCUGCGACACCGCCCCCACCACCGAGACCGACAAUUAUUAUACCGCUAUAUACCCCUUGGACGUCUACAUUUACAAAAGAUGAAUAUGCAACUCACAAAUUUUUCGCCGCCCUGGUAGUAGGUGGUUUAGGUUAUUUUCUCAAGCCUUAACGAGGGAAUACUUUUCGCUUGGUCGCACCUCCAUUUUGACGAAAUUGUAUCGCGGUGUUCCGAUACUCGACGGACGUGACGAUGGAAAAGUGCCGUCACGUUUAAAUGAACAUGUGGGUCAUGCUCUAUACCUAAAACUUGAAUGGUUCUUAGUUCACUCGUUUAUGCACACCGGUGUCGCAAUUUGCGGGUUACAUUUGUCCAUUGUAAAAUACUCUAAACUACGACUGGGAAGCAGGAGAUGACACAAUUGGAGUGGACGAUGUAAUUUCCUGUGAUGCAAUAGAAAUUCUUAAGACGUUUGACAAAUACGGGGAUACCCCUGUACGCUUCGAGAAACUUAUUACAACUAUAGGAUACAUCAAAGACAUGCCUCCAGCCUCUAAGAAGAACCUACAAUCUCUUAAGGCCACUGUAGCAAAACAUGACAUAAUCAAUUACCGUCGUUUAGAGUUGGAGCUCAUCAAAAAAGCCUUUAUCACAUCUGGGGUAACGGAUUUUCUUAACGACAGGCCACAUCUGUGGUCCAGCGCGUUUCCAAGAUUGAGCCAGAUGAGGUACACAGCCGUAAUGGUGACGAGGAAGCUUAAAUUUUUCACGAGCCAAACGAAUGUUUGCAUGGACGCAAUAGCAAGAAUAACUUGUUUAUUUUAUGAUUUUCUCUGCAACGUUGGAGAUGAUCAAUUGACCAAGUUCAUUCGUGCAGUCACCGCAUGGCCAUUUCUUCCCGAGGAGGACAUCAAAGUUAUAAUAACCGCUGGUGGAGGAUUCACGGUGCACACGUGUUCCUUGGAAAUCCAUGUCCCGGAAACCUUGAGUAAUGACAACAUUUUGUGUUACUUGAGGAUUCUAGUGGAAUUUUGUGAGGAGGGGUUCGGAGCUGCAUAGGAGUAAAAUGAAAAUAAAUAUUUUGUCGUACUCAUUC